rnacentral:rRNA from 1 species
GGAUUCCCCUAGUAACUGCGAGUGAAGCGGGAAAAGCUCAAAUUUAAAAUCUGGUAGUCUUUGGCUGCCCGAGUUGUAAUCUAGAGAAGCGUUAUCCGCGCUGGACCGUGUAUAAGUCUCCUGGAAUGGAGCGUCAUAGAGGGUGAGAAUCCCGUCUUUGACACGGACUACCAGGGCUUUGUGAUGCGCUCUCAAAGAGUCGAGUUGUUUGGGAAUGCAGCUCUAAAUGGGUGGUAAAUUCCAUCUAAAGCUAAAUAUUGGCGAGAGACCGAUAGCGAACAAGUACCGUGAGGGAAAGAUGAAAAGAACUUUGGAAAGAGAGUUAAACAGUACGUGAAAUUGUUGAAAGGGAAACGCUUGAAGUCAGUCGCGUUGAUCAGGGAUCAACCUUGCUUUUGCUUGGUGUACUUCCUGGUCAACGGGUCAGCAUCAAUUUUGAUCAGUGGAAAAAGGUCAGGGGAAUGUGGCAUCUUCGGAUGUGUUAUAGCCUCUGGUCAUAUACAUUGAUUGGGAUUGAGGAACUCAGCACGCCGCAAGGCCGGGUUUUUACCACGUUCGUGCUUAGGAUGCUGGCAUAAUGGCUUUAAUCGACCCGUCUUGAAACACGGACCAAGGAGUCUAACAUGCCUGCGAGUGUUUGGGUGGAAAACCCAUGCGCGUAAUGAAAGUGAAAGUUGGGAUCCCUGUCGUGGGGAGCACCGACGCCCGGACCAGACCUUUUGUGACGGAUCCGCGGUAGAGCAUGUAUGUUGGGACCCGAAAGAUGGUGAACUAUGCCUGAAUAGGGUGAAGCCAGAGGAAACUCUGGUGGAGGCUCGUAGCGAUUCUGACGUGCAAAUCGAUCGUCGAAUUUGGGUAUAGGGGCGAAAG